rnacentral:rRNA from 1 species
UACGAAGGGGGCUAGCGUUGCUCGGAAUUACUGGGCGUAAAGCGCACGUAGGCGGCUUUCUAAGUCGGGGGUAAAAUCCUGGAGCUCAACUCCAGAACUGCCUUCGAUACUGGAGAGCUCGAGUCCGGGAGAGGUGAGUGGAACUGCGAGUGUAGAGGUGAAAUUCGUAGAUAUUCGCAAGAACACCAGUGGCGAAGGCGGCUCACUGGCCCGGUACUGACGCUGAGGUGCGAAAGCGUGGGGAGCAAACAGG